CACCCGCCGCACUACGUCGCUGGCUACCAUGCAGUCGAGGGGCAGCAUAUAGAUUGCUUGCAAUUUAUGAUGGCGACCGGCGCACGGGUGAGUAACGCGUAUCCAACCUACCCAUUACUAGGGAAUAACCCAGCGAAAGUUGGCCUAAUGCCCUAUGUAGUCGUUUGAUCGCCUGAGAUUUCGACGAAAGAUUUAUCGGUAUUGGAUGGGGAUGCGUCUGAUUAGCUUGUUGGCGGGGUAAAGGCCCACCAAGGCAACGAUCAGUAGGGGUUCUGAGAGGAAGGUCCCCCACAUUGGAACUGAGACACGGUCCAAACUCCUACGGGAGGCAGCAGUGAGGAAUAUUGGUCAAUGGGCGAGAGCCUGAACCAGCCAAGUAGCGUGCAGGAUGACGGCCCUAUGGGUUGUAAACUGCUUUUAUAUGGGAAUAAAGUGAGGGACGUGUCCCUUAUUGCAUGUACCAUACGAAUAAGGACCGGCUAAUUCCGUGCCAGCAGCGGCCGGUAAU
rnacentral:rRNA from 1 species